UACAGAGGUCUCAAGCGUUGUUCGGAUUCAUUGGGCGUAAAGGGUGCGUAGGUGGCGGGGUUAGUCAGGUGUGAAAUCUCGGAGCUUAACUCCGAAACUGCAUUCGAUACUGCCGUGCUUGAGGACUGGAGAGGAGACUGGAAUUUACGGUGUAGCGGUGAAAUGCGUAGAUAUCGUAAGGAAGACCAGUGGCGAAGGCGGGUCUCUGGACAGUUCCUGACGCUGAGGCACGAAGGCCAGGGGAGCAAACGGG
rnacentral:rRNA from 1 species